rnacentral:rRNA from 1 species
UACGUAGGCAGCAAGCGUUGUUCGGAAUUACUGGGCGUAAAGAGUGUGUAGGCGGUGCUCUAAGUUCGGUGUGAAAUCUCCCGGCUCAACUGGGAGGGUGCGCCGAAAACUGGAGUGCUGGAGCGCGGGAGAGGAAAGCGGAAUUCCUGGUGUAGCGGUGAAAUGCGUAGAGAUCAGGCGGGAACACCCGUAGCGAAGGCGG